AGGUGUGAGCAUACCAGUACUAAUGCACCAGAUCCCACAGGAACUCCGAAGUUAAGCGCGCUUGGGUGAGAAUAGUACUAAGAUGGUCUUUGUCACGGGACUUUCACAGACACAGGCA
rnacentral:rRNA from 1 species